UCUACUCACUCACUUUUUGUCACUCAACUCAGUCCGAUCCGAUCCCCAUCCGCCGAUCCUGUGCGCCCCUCCCUAUCUCACCGCCGAUCCCCAAUUCCCCAUCCGCCAGGUCCCCGGCUCCCUCUCUCGACGCGUCAGGCCGCCCCUCCCGUUCAUCCCCACUCCCGAUGCGAGGCCAAUCUUCGCCGGCCCUCCUCGUCGAACCCGGUGUCGCCUAAGAGCCGGAGGAGGCGCUCAGACUGGGCAUGCUCGCGGGUGACCCAACGCUAGGCGCCAGAGGAGGAGGAGACGCGGGCCACGUCUACACCGGAUCGACGGCCGCGGCCGCAACCACCGUUCGUUGGAGAGCUCCGGCCUCCUCCUCCUCCCGCAGUACAAGCCAGCCGAUGAAUCGGAACAAUCGCCGAGGGACGGCAGCGAGGACGCUCUGCUCCGGCGGGCUGGCCGGGUCGCGAGCGUUCUGGGCAUCAGAUUUUGCAUCUGCAUCCAACUGGCCUUGCUGGGUUCUCGGCCUCGCCUGCGCCAUGGACGACGACGGGGAGGUGUGGCUGCACAGGAAGAAGAGCAAGACGAAGAUGCCCCUAAUGGCGGCGCCGCUUCCCGCUAAGAGGAGGGCGCUAGGGGCAGGGACAGGUUCCAGUUGCUCUGGCGGGGCUACCAUGAUUUGCUCCUGGUUUCACAAACAAAGUUCAUUGCUUCAAUACAUUUUGUUGACCAGCUUUCACCAUUGAGCCGAAAAUCUUAGCAGAGCAUCAUUUGGCUUCACAAACAAAGCCACAGCUUGAAUCUGGUGACAAAAUUAUCAUGCCACCUUCAGCACUUGAUCGUCUUGCAUCUCUGCAUAUUGAAUACCCUAUGCUAUUUGAAGUCCGUAAUACAGCAGCAGAACGUACUUCACACUGUGGUGUCCUAGAGUUCAUUGCAGAAGAAGGCAUGAUCUACAUGCCAUAUUGGGCGCACGAUUACUGGGAAGGAUUCAUGCGUGAUUACUGGGAAGGAUUACUGGGGAGAUUACAUACCAUGCGUCAUGGGUGUUUCCUGAUUCAUGGGUCGUUCUUGAUUUGUUUCCUGAUUAGAUUCCAUUCAUGCGUGAUUCAUGGGUCGUUCUUGAUUUAUUUCCAUGCGAGAUUUCCUGAUUCAUGGGUCGUUCUUGAUUUAUUUCCUGAUUAGAUUC